ensembl:snRNA U6 U6 spliceosomal RNA
GUCUCAAAAAUUAAAACAUGAAAUGAAGUGAGAGUGAUAAAGAGAAGAUUAGCAUGGCCCCUCUGCAAAGGAUGACAUGCAGAUUUAAGAAGCAUUGCAUAUUUUU